CAACAGUCAACAGUUGUUAACAAAUAACGAUGACAACGAGCAACAACGUGCAAAACCCGACCCCCAGACCCGAUUUCGUCACUAACUCAAUACACAAACGACGUAACAGCGACAACCUCAACAACAGCGUACAAUUUCAAUGCUGUAACCACAAGCAGCCAACAACGACGGUAGCACCACAUCAAUAACGACAAAAUUCCAGACGUCUCAUUUACUAUUUUGCCUUGUCAGAUAGUCUUUUAUGGAUAAAAUGCAGAAUGCUCUCAUCUUUUCAGUUGGUGGUUCAUCAAUUUGGGGAAAAAAUCAAUUCACCUCCUUUGACCAAGCAAAGUAACGACUCUUUCCUCCUUCUCUCCACUGAUUUUUGAGUACAAAAUAUGGCCUUUGUCUCACUAUGGAUGUGAAACUUUUUUAAGAAUUGGUUGAAAUUUUAGAUUUGAAAUCCAUCCUUUUUUCAAAAUUCGAAACCCAUUUUCUCCCCCAAUUUAUCUUAUAAAUAGUGGUUGAAGGAUACGGGAAAAGAGGAGGAAUUUUAGGAAAAAAAAGGGUGUUCUGGAGACGCGUGUCUCUAACCUCACGCAACCAAAAAUCCGGAAAGAAAACUCGAAAAAUCAAUUUCCAACGAAUUCAGUUGAACACUAUUGAUUUUGGAAUCUAGUUUUGGCCGUGGUGAAGGUUUCAUCCUUGAAAAACUCGUAAUCCCAUUCGCUGCCCGGGAAAAAGGUUAACACAUCUUCCUUUUUUCUUUUAGUUGAUUGUUCUUCACCGUCUUCUUUAUAGACUUCUCUCGUUAUCAUAAUGGCUGAGACUGUUUAGUUGAUUGUUCUUCACCGUCUUCUUUAUAGACUUCUCUCGUUAUCAUAAUGGCUGAGACUGUUUGCUGUAGGAACUUAGGAUUUUCUUAUAUUUUUUGUCGAUUUGGUGGCUGUGUUCCUGUAGUUCCUAGGCUGCAUCUUAUUAUGUUUCGUUAUUUGUGUUGUUUGGUGGUAUGUCAGAUUUUGAAAUUAUUUAUUCUUUUUCUUGUUUGUUGCGGGAAUGAAAAUUCACUCAACAAGUUAAACUUCUGUGUGGAUUUCUUGAUUUUGUUAAUAAGUAUAUUUUGUCAAAGAGAAAAUUUGCCUUUUUGUUUCUCUGUAUUGCUUGGAAAACAGUGGCUCGGAAGUCGAUUUUCCUUUUUCCAUUGCUUUCCAUAUUGGUUAUUAGUGUUUACGGAUGUACCAAAUAAAUUUUACUUCCUUAGAUUUGCCUUGUCAUUGGUUUUGUUAUUUGAAAUAGAAUAAUGUCUCUCUAAAGUUGGCACGAUUAAUUCAUUCUCUUGCAAAUAAUUCAUUGUGCUGCAUUUGAUCCAUCUUCUACGUGCACGUUGCAAUUGCCGUUUAAAAUUCGAUAUUGUCUUGAAAUUUCUAAACUCUUUUACUCCAUACAAAUUAAUUCUAGAGUUAAUAGUGGACAUAUAUUAAUAACAAUUUUUUAAGUGUUGCUUUCUUAACUAGUUAUAUUAGUACUAUUUGAAUAAAUUCCAAUCUUUAUAUUUUCUUGAUGCACGUGACACCGACUUGAGUCUCAGCGGACUCCAUUUCCUACAUUUCUCGAUGGACUAGGCCUACAUCUUCUACAAGUUCCAAAUGCCUUCAUUUUUGAAGGAACGAGGCUGGUAUACAUUUGUAUAAGCCUGAUAUAUGAGGUUUACAGGUUAAAAGUGGCUGAUAUAAGUCAAGAGAUGACUUAUGGUAAAGCUAGCAAGAAUAAAAGGUUUUCCAUGCUGUUAUACAGCGUAUAUACAGAAAAAAUGCAGUAAAACGAGGCUGAUAUACAGUCAGUAUACAGCUGGUAUACAACUGCAGAAAUGGACCAAAAGUCCAUAAAGAAUGAGCCCAAAAGUUUUCUAGAUUUGGAAAAGGCCCAUCUUUUAAUUCUUCUUAUUCAUCUCCUUGUAAAUCCUAUUUGAUAAUAUGUUUGCCUUAAAUUAUUAAUUUGGUUAACUUUUAUAAAUCCCCUUCGAAUCAUUAUUUUUGUUUAUCUCUGUAUUUUUCCUUUGUUAUUUUAUAGCGUAAUAUUCGAAAUUAAUAAAAAUAUAUCUUUCUUUAUGUUUUUUCUUAAAAUAAUUUUUUCUAAAAAAAAUAAUCAAAUGACAUUUUAUUUUAUCAACGUGUCAAAGUAGUUCAUUUAAGUUAAAAAGAAUUCUCAUCGACCUAAAAUCAAUUUCCUUUGCAAAAAAUAAAAAUAUUUUCACUAAUUAGUCAAGGCUCAUAAUUUGUUUAAAUUGAUAUUUUUCUUUAAAGACAAAUAUUUUUUUAAUCAAAAAUGAUAUGUAAAAAUCACUUUAUUUCUCCCUUUUAUUUGAAAGAAUAAUUUAUGAAAAAAACGGGUUUAGCUCAACCUUCUUUAUAGGAAAUUUUCUCAAGUUAAAUUGGACUAAUUUUCACUUGGUUGACAAAUGUCAUUUUAAGUCUUCAAAAAAUAGUUAAAGGUAAUAUUUUUUAUAAAAUCAAGUCUUCGUAAAAAUUAGCCACGUUUAGUUAGUCAAGUUAGUUCUUUUUGGUAAAUCGUUUUAAACGGACGCUCCUAAGUGCCUUAAAAACCUUCUUAGAGUGUUAAUUGAACCCUUAUCCAGUUCUCUGGUUUUAAAGGCUUAUUUCUGUUAUUGAGCCUUUGAAACUCUUUUUAAGUUUUUUCGUGAUUUUUUCUAUAAAAAUUAAGUGGCGACUCUAUGAAUUUCUUAAAAUUAUUUUGAAUUUUUUUUGAAUCUUUCUCGUCAAAUGAAUCCGUAAAGAAUAAAACAAAGUUUAAGGAGGGUAGGGUUCAAAAGAGGGAUAAAAAUUGAAUGGCUUACGACUUGUGAUGUGUUUGCCAAAGAAAGGUCAAAAGGCUCAAAGUGGGUGACUAGGGAUAACAUUUAUGCGAGGGUAGACUUUUUAGGCUAGAGUGGACUUUCAAUAUCGCAAAGAUGGCCUAGGAUCAUCUCACCAACCAAGUACAAUCAAAAUUAGUCUUGAUAUACUAAUGGGGCAAGUUCUAGAUGGUACAAGUAUACAUGAGAUUUAAACAAAUAAGUUCACCGCACAUGGCAUACAAAUUCGCCAAGGAGGUUCAAUUGCCCCUCCCGUUAGAGACAAAAAUAGAGUACUUACCAAUUUUCACAAGCCAAAAUUUUGGAGUCAUAAAAAGAGAAAAAGUAUUGAUACAAGAUCGCUCAUGUCUGUACCCUUGAUUUUUGGAAAAAAAAUUAGACGGAGGGGGGUGUUUGCUUUCCAUUUGCACCACAUAUAAUUUGCUAAUUAUGGAACCAACAUAAGCCUUCGUCUCACAUGUUGGCUUUCAUACGGGCAAACCAUAUGGAUACUCAGACUUCGCCAUAGGUAUAAUUAGAUCCCAAAUUCAAAAUGCUACAGGUACUCAGAUUUUUCUUGCAUUUAUUACCUCGAUGCUACGGAUACUCAGACUUCCCCUACAUUCAUGGCUCGAAACUCAAUUACAAUGCUUUUCCCUUAAGAAUGUCCUCACUCAAUCUAUCAUAGGAAAAAGCUAGUCCGAUAUCACCAUAACCAAAAUAAAGAUAAAGUAAAAAUGUAAAAACAAACUAAACAACUAAUCCAUGAAACAUGGGCACCAGCAGAGUGCCCAAAAAAUGCAACCCAGAAACAAAAAAUUAAAAAUCAUCCAAAAAGUCAUCAAAACAUCCAAAAAUAUCUAAAUAAUAUAGAUCCGGGGGCAGGCACCCCCUACUGAAAAGCUAGCAGUGUCCUCACUGCAUAAGUAAUAGAGCAUAAAAUAGAGAUAAGGGUGCUCUCUAAAACUGCAUCAGGAGCUGCUUUCGCUUGCGGACUUGCAUCAUCUCAAUCAGCAUCAGCACCGGACUACUCAGUAGGGGCCUCAUCAUCGCUGUCCAUCCUGGGAGAAGGUAGUCUGUCUCAGAAUAUUAGCACUUUCCACAGGCCCUUUACCUCUUUCUACAUCUUACUGAAAAACUUAUCUUUCUUCUUCUCCCUUUUCUUUAUCUUCUCGUGGGAGUCCCGAAGCUUCCUGUGAUACUCUGCCAACGCUGAGUAUGCCCUUUUGAGCCUAGAAAUGGUGGCUUCUUGAGUCUGUUGGUCCUUUGGAUACUUCUCUUAAUUUGAUCGGGACACAAAUGAGUAGCGGGUGGUGGAGGGCUCUCUUUGCCUCUGGGGCAAUACUGACACAAGCCCCUUGAUGACCCUAAUAUCAACACCAAUAUCUUCAAGAGGCCCAACAGUGAAUGGCCUACAUGACUCUGACUUCUCACAUGUCGACUUUCUCAAGUCGAUCUUUCUAUUUUUCCUUUUUCUCGGUGCACCUUAACCCCAAAUUUUGAGAGGAUAAAUAGGGGUUCAGGGCGCACCCAAGUAUCUCCUGGGUAUUCCGCAACCCCAACUCUCCUGAAUAGCUCAGUGAUCAAAGAAUGGAAUAAGAGAUACAUACCACCAGGGUUUCUGAAGAACUGCAUAUCAGAUAUUACCAACAGAUAUCAUCUGACGACCAACAUUUAAAGAAAAGUUGUCGAGUAUGCAGGGAACCAUAUGGGAACGCAAAUCUGUAGUUGCAGUCAAAUGAAUGCAAGGAGAGAUCCGGCUGCAAAUGAUAUUCAGCUAUAUUCGGGCCUCAGUAGUGAAGUCAUUCAUCGAGAUGCCCCUUUUGGUUGCCACCUACAAGACCUCCUUGACUGGGCACAACCUCUCUACCAUCUAGCUUCCCGGCUCACACCCCUUAGCUUCAAUGUCAACUAUGUCUACAUUUGGGAGCCCAUAUAGAUCAUUGAUUUGUUCCACCUCAAAUUACACAUUCCUCCCCAAAUCCUGAUAACUGGGUUUUUAAAAGAUACUAUACUAAGAUUAGCGUAGAACUCUCGCACCCAUUGCUGAUGUGCCCGGCAAGGAUCCAGAGCAAAACAUCUCCACCUAUUAUCCACGAGCCUAUCAUGCAAUGCUGAAAGAUUUUUCGACACCUUCUCCAAACAUAUACUCCUUUCGGGAAGCAACUUUGUCCUUAGAAACUCAUCGUAGUAUUGGUUGUGGCACUUGGGAGUCAUGAAUCAAAUUUGGUCAUAAUUCUCAAUAAUGUAAACCUAAAAAACAUGAGUACAACAAAAAUAUUUAUCAUCAAUAUUUUCAUGCUUAAACUAGACUAUUUUGUCUUAUAAAACUCAUGGGAUGGGUACUUGGUGGUGUUUGACCAAAAAAUCAAAGUGCAGAAAUUUUGGCCUAGGCUGAGAUUCAGCCUUAGUUAUGGCGAUCACAAGCCACUGAGUUGUGAUUAUGGUGCCGCGAUCGUGACUCGAUAACUGUGAUCACUGGUUCCGCAAUCAUGAUCCCGUGACCGCAAUUAAGGUAACUAAGGCUAGAUUGGGCUAGAUUUUCAAAAGCUUCACAAUCCAAUUUUAAGGCCAAAAUAUGUUUGAAAACAACAGUUAAUCAAUAAGCAUAUCAAACAAAACUUCUAAGUUCUUAAUCAUGCCCUCACGAUGUGAAAAUAAUGAGUUAUAGACUCUUUUGGGCAUUUGAUCGGGCACUUGGUGUGCUCUCUAUACUUUACUCAAAUUCACACAUUUUUUGGAUACUCAAGAUUUUCCCACAUGUAUGCACACUAUUUUUAACAGCUUCACCACACAAGUAAGAUUUAACAAGAAUUUAGCAAGGAAAAACAUAGUUUUAGGCCCUACCUAGUUCAUGCACUCUAAGGCCUACUCACAAUAAUUAAAAACAUGAAUUUAAAGCACUUACCGGAAGAGUGAUGCAAGAUGGAUGCAAAGAUGCUUUUGAAAUGCUCAAAAUAUAGACAGGAACAUGUGUAAUUUGAGAGAAAAGUUGGAGGGGGAAUGUGAGGUAAAUAGGAGACCGGUGGUCUUUUAAACCAUGUCUGGCUGCGAUCGCGGUCAAGGUUCGCGAUCGUUGACAAGCGGAUGAUCGUGAUUGCGACAAAGACCCAACAAUCGUGUUAACAGAGGGCAUUUCUACACCUCUAUUUUCCCCUGUUCAGUCCAACAUGCAAAAAUCCCACUCUUACCCUCUUUCAAACUUAUUCAAUGCACUCUAAAGUGCCAUAAAUGCAUGGAUUAAUCAAUGACAAAAUUAAAAUCUACACUACCAAGUUAAAAAGAAAGGAUACGGGCCACUUUAUGGCGUGAUGGGUUGAUUCCCAUCGAGUGCCAAAUUUUAAUGUCGUGGCACGACACACCUUUUCAAGUAUCAUUUAUGUCUCUACUUAGAAGAUUUAAACUGACGUCCCAUCUUGCAACCAUUAUGUUUUGAGCGAAAGUCGGACAAAAGAUUCAAAUAUUCCAAAAUGAGACGAAAUAAAGUUGAGGAGGUAUUGAUGACUUCUCUAUCUCGCCACUUUGAAGACUUGAAUCGUUUACCCAACUUUACAUCAAACUCUCGAGUAGGCUCAUUGGGUAUUAGUAAGAACAUCAAAAGACUACUAGUUGAAUAUUAGAUUUUCAGCUUUCUUGUCUUCAAAUGAGGGACGUCAUCUCUCCCUUUUAAGAUGACAAACUCCAAAAUAUAAGAAUUUUGUACCCCAUUUCUCAAAUUCGCCAUUUGCUUGGGUGUCUUAACUUUCAUCACAUCCAGCAAGCAUAAUGUUUAAAAAUGAUUAGAAUGAGGUCGUUGUCCCAAUUCUGGAUUCGCAUUCAUCUUGAAAUUCUCAUCCGAAAAUGAACUAAGCCCUCACAAUGGAUUUGCUUAGCUUCUUCUUUGGACUCUAGUACCAAUUCCUUUACUGUGGCAUCCUUUAUUAGUUUUUGUUUGUUUGGUUGGCAAAUCACCAAGGAUUCUUCACUAUCAAGCUCAUAAUCAAGCUCAUGGCUUGAUAUCUUUUCUUUAUCAUCCUUAUUUUGAAGAUUGGGCAUAUACAUGACACUUGAAAGAUUGGUCUCCUCACCCACUUCUUAUUUUUCACUGUCCAUUCCAAAUGCCAUCAUGGGUUGAUUCUAGUGAUGCUGUCCUCCUUCAUUGUAGUCACUCGAUCCAUGAGAUUUAGAAGCAUUGCUGCAACAGGAUUGUAUCCGACAUGUUGUUCUUCCUUUAUCACAUCAUGAGACCUAUCAAAAUCAUAAGAACUAACAUUUUUGUUAGCAUAACUAGGGGAGGGGACAUUUGGACAAUCACUCCAAUGUCCAUCUUGACCACUACAGAAAGAACAAUUUUACUCCUUAUAGUAUUGAGAUGGUGCACACACAUUUUUUCGGGGAGCAUAUUUACAAUCUUGACAAAAGUGGGGUCCACCACAAUAUGGACAUGAAUCAUCAAGAUAAAAUUUGCAACCACCAAACUCAUAUUCAUUUCAAGAUGUCAUAGUAAUAAGCAAGUGAAAAUAAAAAUCUACCUAACACAAGAAACAAAAGAAAAUCACAAACAAAUAUUUACUAGUUUGAAUUCAAGAAACUAAGGUAAAAUUCAAACUAACUCAAUACGUCAAAUUAUUCUCCGACAAUGACGUCAUUUUUGAUAACACUGAACUCACACGUCAAUUUAAGUGCAAAGAGAUCAUUGUCAGUAUAUUACUCAACUUUGAGUCGGGAUCAAAUCCACGAGGAAUAAUGUAACUGAUGAUUGAGUAAGUUCAAAGUGAAAGUUAUUUGCUAAAUUCAAACCUAGGAUACAAGUAGUUUGGGAGAUGUUAAGAGAAUUCAAAAAGAUAACAAAUUGGAUUUCUAACUGACUAAUUUGAGGUUGAGAAUAAUUAGAGCGUAAUCAAUUAGGAACAGAUCUUGGGGCUAUGGUUUACUAGGGACAACUAGUGUGCGGGUACAUGAAAAUCAACUCCAAAUCUUAGCUAAAGUAUGCGUGGGUAGGCUCAGUUAGGGAUUUUGAUACCAUCCAUUCAAUAAAGUACCAAACUAUCAGCUAAGGAUUCUUUCGAAUACCUCGUGGGUGUGGUCAACCAAUCGUUACCAAACCUCAAUUGGGCAUUCCUAUUUCUAAGAAAAUGCCCAAAAUAUAACAAUUCCACAUUUUAUCCUUAUUUCUAAGACAAUAAAAAAAGAGUAACUAUUAUCUAUCUUAUUAUUCACAAAUCCUCAUGUUACCCACAUCCCUCUUUCAAGGAUGGCGUGGUGUUUAGAGAUAUUAAGACUUUCACCAACAAAUUCCAUUUUGCGCCCUAUUCAAUCAAGAAUUUAAGCUAACAAUCACAACCCACACACAUUUGCGCCCUAUUCAAACAUAACCCCAAGAGGGAGAACUAACUACUCAUAAGGAUAAUAAAUAAAGACAUACCAAAAUCUCCAUCAAAUAGAUUCAUGAAAGAUAAAGAAGAUGCGAAUUCAAACUUUAAGUUUCAAUAAAUCUUAAGUGGAAAAUGCUAAUCCUUCACUUAGAAGUUACUCUAAUGUAUUCUUCACCCUAUACUGGAAGAGAUUUCCAAAAAUUGGGAAUUUUUCUCUAUGAGAGAGGGUUUGGUCUCUUAAGGAAAUUGGGGACGGCUGUUGUGAAAUUACAAAACUGCCGCGUUGCCACGAUUGCUGACAUUUGUCCGUAAUCGUGGAUGCUGCAUCCGCGGUUAAAAACUCGCGAUCGCGCUUCUUUAACCUAGCAUUACUGGCUGCGAUCAUGGUCUGAGGACGACGAUCGCGGUAAUUGAGGCUGGUUUCUGCUUCAAGUCUUCUAGCUGUACUUCUUUUCUUCUUUUUGAUCCUUUUUAGCUUUAAUCCACAUCUUUCCAUCUCAUUUUUUGAUCCUUUUUAGCUUUAAUCCAUAUCUUUCCAUCUCAUAACUUGUCUGUCUGCAAAAUGUAAAAAUUAGUGCAUUUAAUCGCAAAUAUGUCUCAUUUAUACAUUCAAUUCAUAGUAGCGGGCAAGAAUGUUGAGUGCAAAUGAGUGGUAAAUUUGCCAUUCAUCAUCCACCAUUUUCACCAUCUUUGAAGCUUGAUAACUCGAAUUUGAGCAUUUUCAAAGAAAUUUUUGAGAUUUUCUUCAUGGGUAUGUUUCUAAACAUUGUAUUAUUAUUUUUCACGGAUUUCACUAUCAAUUUACCUUUAAAUCUUCAAUUCUAAAUUUUAUUUUGCAAUUUUCAUGAUAAAGUUUAAAAAUAAUAUUUUUUCAAUUUGGACCUCAUUUUUAAUUUAUUUUUACAUGAAUUUUCAGUUUUAGGUUCCUAAUGUAAUAAAAAUGUGUUUGCAAAAAUAAACUUUCAGUUUAAUCCUUUUUUAUUCGGGAUUAAUUUUUGCAUUUUUUGUAAAUUCGAAAUAAAUAUAGUUGGUGUGAGUAUCAUUGAGCCCUUUUUUGACUUAUAAAUGUCAUAUUUGAUUGGAUUGGACGCAUUUGGUGUUGAUUCAAGAGAGUUGGGAUUUCAAUUGAGGUUUUAGACUACAUUUGAAUUUGCGGAUCUUAAUUUAAGGCAUGCUAAGAUGUUCAUUGACUUUUUUCCGAAGUGUUUAUGUAUUGUAUGUUUGUUUAAUUUUUUUUUUUUGUGUAUCGCUUAGGAUUGUGGGUCCCACUUAGGUGAAAUGACGAGCAUCCCCUUGGAUACCGGAGUCUUUGAUGGAUUGUCGUUGGAUUAUUACCUUGAUUACUUAGUACUACUAUUAUUAAAUAUUCUUAGAUUGAAAUGUAGAUAGAUAACCUAGUGAUUCUCAAAUAAUGAAGAAUGGAUUGUCAUUUUAGAGCUUGAAUCUUGUUAGCGAACUUUAUUUGGAUGAUAGUGGGUUAGUGCCUUGUUAGGGGAUAAUUAUGUUAUUAUCAUCAUUAUUUUGAUGGAAUGAUUGAAUAUUUAGAGAAUACUUAGAGUAUGAAUAUACUUGUAAUAGCUGAUGAGAGUUAAUGAAUGGGCCAAGUUAGGUUUGGGUAGUCCGCAAUUUAUUAUAAUUGAGAUUGUUAUUUAUUUUGUGAUGCUCGUGUCGGGCUUAUGUGAACUUCAUUAUGGACUUGAGUAGUUAUUUGUGAUUGUAUAUCCGGGUAGGGGCUUAUAUGCAUAUUGCUUUUAAUUUGAGAGGAUAUACUAUUGUGAUGCUCGAGUGGGGGCUUGACUUGAUGUUGUUAGUCAUGUUUUGUUCAUUAAAUGACUAAUUUAUUAUUGCAUCUUUCGAGUGGAGGCUUGAUUUGACAUUGUAGUCCUUAUAUGAGUAUUUAAUUGCAUAUUCAUUACAGUGAUGUCCGACUGAGGAGUUGGGAGUGAUAAUAUUAAUGACCACAUGACUAUUUAUUUUGGUGGUGCCAAGUGGAGGAACGGAAUGAAGAAUAGAAGGAAUAUGGAUCAUAUCUUUAAUCAUUAGAUAUUAGUCAUUUGAGGAUGAUUUGUGUUUAGGAUAGAGAUAUAUCUAAACACUCCACGUGAUUAAUGAAACGAGAAUAUUGCUUAAUGCAUCUAUAUUAAAGACUCACUUCCUCGCUCAAUAAUGUAAUUUUGAAACUAAUUUGGAUAGAUAACUUAGAGGAUGAUCAUUCUCAAGUAAUAAUAUCAACCCCAUAAAUCAGUAACCACGAUAAACACCAACAUCAACUAAGUAGAAUUAGCUGUUAAUGGUUCAAUUAGCUGUUAUAGAGAGAUAAUUUUACAAAGAGUGUACUGCUGUAAUAAACAUCAUUACUGUUAUAGGUAGAAUUUCGUUAUAGAGAAGUAAAAUAUAACAAAAAAAUUAAUUUCGGAGAAAAUCAAAUUGCUAUAAUAAAAUAUUGUUAUAACGAGGUGACAUUAUAGAAUGUCUGAUUGUAUAUAGUGUAUUUAGUAUAGGAGAUUUUUUUUUGAAUGAAUCUUUUCUUGUUUUAAAAUAGGAGCAAGAGAAUUUGGUAUAGUAGCACUUUAACUGCUUAUUUUUUUUCUUUGUAUAUGUUUUAUUGGUGUAGUUUGUUCGGAGAAAUAGAAGUGAAAGAAGAGCGAGAAGUAAGAAAAAUAACAAAUAAAUAGUUUGAGAGAGUGAAAGCACUCAUGAGUUGUACUUUGUCAAAGAAUAAUUAAUAAUUAUAUUUGAAUUGGAGAGUCGUAACUCUCAAUAACAUAUUAUUGAGUAAAAGGUUACUCACAGUUAUAUUUUAUCUCUGUCCCUCUUGACUUUUAUAGUUAGAAUAUUUUUAAAAAAUACUGUAUUACCUAAACGUUACUCACAUAUACGUUUAUUUCAAACCUAACUCAAUCUCUCAUUUCUCAAUUUAGUUACCUGAUUUUACUUCAUUAACUUGUGAAUAAGUUUGUGCUUCAUGCGGUAAUGAAAACCUCAUUAAAUUUAGAGUAAUGUUUUUUAUAAGAUUAGAUUAAGAGAUUUUUAAAAUUUUAAAUAUUCAAAAAAGUUUGUUCUUCUUCAAAUCCAAAUGGAUUAUAGUAAAUACUUAAUGCAAUGCAUUUCUAUACUUAAUGCAAUGCAUUUCUCUAACUUUGAAUUUUUUAGUAAAUAAAGUAACAUGAAGCUAAUAAAGAAGAACAAAUUGGUGCAAAAAUUAAUUUUCUAUAAAUAGUAUAUAAGGAAGAAAUAGACUUGAAACAUAUAGUUUGCAACAACUGCUUUUCGUUAUUGUUGGGUUUGAUUUUUGUACUCUUAUUCGUUUUCGCCUUAAGGGUGAAUAAAGCAUAAAACAGGUCCAUCUACUUCAAUCUACGGAAUCAAAUAACAAUACUUUUUCGUGCUUUAUUUCCCUCUCUAUUUUAGAGUACUUUUUAUAACUUUAUUAUUGGGACUGUUGUACAUAAUUUUCAAUAAUAUUGAAAUAAAGUAAUUAGAGAAAUAUGCAAAUGCAUAAGAAUUCAACCCAACCAAAAAUGUGAAUAAACCAUUAAUGUUUACCUUGGAAGUGGCGAUGAAAUAAAUAAAUUCCUCGUAUUUUCUUAUAGUUCUUACAUGAAUAUUGAAAUUCAAAUCUGCAAUAAAAGAUCAAUCUUAAUAGGCAUGUACCAAUAUGAGGAUAAUCCCUCAUUCUUCGUAAUUUGUGUUGAAAUUAUCAACAAAUAAUUUUACUAUUGAUUAUAUAAUAAAAAUAUUCUUGAUAACAAUUUAUAUACGUAGUUAGGAGAGACACAAAGGAAAAAAAAUAAAUACUAAACCACUAAUCCAGUUCUUUUUUAGAACAAAAGUGCAAAUUAUUUUUUUGCUUAGCCUAAAUAUAUUUAGUAAGCAAACACGAUUGUGUUUCCAAGAAAUGAUGACUUGACAACGAGAGCUAAUGCUCGACGCCCCACCAUCCUUAUAAUAGUCAACAAUAUCCAAGUCAUGACACACUAUAGCCAUCGAUUGUCCAUAUUCAUCAUUUUUCAAUUAGUCAACACUUUAUCAACUAACCAUCAUGUAAUACUAAUCCUCAUGUAUCAAUAAAUCAUCCUUUAUCAACUAAACAUAAAUUAUUAACUAAUCUUCAUAUAGCGUCUAAUCAUCACUUAUCAACUAGUCAUUAUUUACCAACAAACCAACAUUGGUCAACUAGCCAAUAUAUAUCAACUAAUCAUUAUAUACUAGAGUCUAUUCAUACUACAUUAUAACUAAUUCCUCAUUUUCAACUUGGCUACAUUGUCAAUCUGAUCACACCCCAAAGUCAUCAUAUCAUAAUAAGUAUAUCAUCAUAUUAUACUACUAAUAGCCGAACUCAAACCGGUAUGGAUAUUAAAUAAUAUCAUUAUAAAUAUCAUCCUAAUCAUCUUCCNNNNNNNNNNNNNNNNNNAGCAUAUAUAUAUAUAUAUAUAUAUAUAUAUAUAUCGUUAUAAUCAUCCCCCGACCUUGUCGGACAUAUAUAUUGUAGGACCCCACAAAUUUUCCUAGUCAUUAAAACUCUUUAAAGCAUGUCAAGGGAAGCUUCACACUUAGAAAAUUUGGCUAAGUAUUGGAACUUCUUCAUUUCAUAAGCCUUCAAACUUUGAUGAUUUAUUUCAUGACCUUCCCGACCUUUGGUAGUUGAUAUUUUAGCUAAUUCUUGUCCAGAAUGUCAAUAGAGUUUUUCAGACAAGUUUCAAAUUUUUCGAACCUCGUUUAGACCACGUUUGGGGUCUCAAAAUAGUAGACCAACGCGAUCUUGGCGCGCCGCGUCGCCUAUCGCGUUGGUUAACAUUGUUGCAGGCUGCCAGAGUCAAAAGUACUGAGGCUCUACGCGAUUAUGACGCAACGCGUCGGGUAUCGCGCCGAUGCCAUCGACACGCCGCAUCGACCAGCGCAUCGGCACCCAAUUUUUCAGUCAUUAAAAUAGCCGCGACCCCAGGAUUAUUUCAGUUUUUUUUCCCACUCUUAUAUAACCCUAAAACGCGUGUUUCAGCCAUAUUUUACCCAAAUCGUAGUGGUUUCUCUCAAUUUCUCUCAAGAACAAGUUUAGGGUUUCCAAUUGACGAUCCAAAUUCAAGAAAAUUUCACCGUCAAUCUUCGUAAAAUCAAGAACCAAGGUAUGUUAGAUGUUGAUUCUUGAAUUCCUUCCACCCAAGAAGUUCAAGAAUCAUUUUCUAAAAUUCAAAGAUUAUAUAUUUAUGAGUUUUCAUGAUUAAUGUGAAUUGAAAUUGAAGUUCAUGUUGUUAUUGAGUUUUUAAUUCAUGUUUUGUUUAUAAAGUUUCAAGCCUUGAUCCUAACAUGUGAUAUUUAUGUGAUGUUCAUGAUAAACCCCUUCAAGUUGCAUGUUUAUUGAUGUAUCCAUGAUAAUUAGGUGUAGGAAUUGUUGUAUAACCAAAGCAUGCUCCCCAUAUGUUUGAUAAAAUGCUUAUGUGAAGGAAAUAGAGUCAUUAUAGCAUGUUGACAAGAAAUCCCCAAUUGUGUAUAAGUUAAUGCAUGCCAAGUGUUUGUUGAAAGGCCUUAGUGAUGAAUUAUGAUAUGUUGUAUGCAUUCCUACUCAUGUGUAUUCCUUAUUGAAUGAAUUAUUAGAUAAUAGUAUGCACUCCCUAUACAUUUACAUGUUUAAGACUUCUAAGUGCUUGAAGAGAUGCCUCAUUAAUUGUGUUGUGAAUGAUAGCCUAUUGCCAUGUUAUGUAUGAGUUGUCGUGUCUUGUAUUAUUUAUGUUAUCGAGUCCUGGGGGUAUUUAUACCUGACAAAUUAGAGCUUGUCUAGAGCCAGUGUCAGUUUCAUGAUAAUCUCAGUCAUGCUAUGACUAGUAGUACUCUUAGUCAGUUACAGAACUCAGUAGAACUCAGACAGUGAUAGAACUUAGGAAAUCUCAGUAAUCUCAGUAUCAGUAGCAUUCCAAUUUUAGUUCAGUAAUCGAUUCAGAACUCAGUAAUAUUCCGUCAGUCAACGGAACUCAGUAAAUUUAGAUUAGCUCAGUCAAACAAGUACGAUCAGUAACAGUUUAGUCAAGCCUAGUAUGAAUUAGUAAUUAGUUCAGUGUUUUUCAGUUGGGAGUAAGAUUCACAUCGAGUGAACCUAGGGAUGAGGGCUCUCCCGCUAGAUAGGACUGAGAUCCCUAGAAGCAAUCCCUAAGUUCCAGAACAGCGUAGCCAGGUAGGUAUGAGAUAUCACCCGUUAGAUAGGACUGACAUACUCCGGGAUCACCCGCUAGUACAAGAUUGGUCUCAGGGGUCACCCGCUAGAUUAGGACUGACCCCAUAGCAGUUGUCUUUACCCGUGGAACAGUAUUGACACCCUUCCAGCUGGGGUUACAAGUUGGACCCCACUAGUUUAGAUUUGGGGCAUGUCGGUUAGAUGACUACCUCUCACAGUCUCAGCUUCAGAAUUAGUCUAAAUAAAAGAACUCAGCUCAAUAGCACAGAUUCAGGACUGUUAGAUAUAGUCACUCAUUAGUAUUAUCAAUGGAUUUAGAGAUCACCCGCUAGAUAGGACUGAUCUCAGAUUUAGUUAAGUAGUAUUAGUACCAACAGAUUCAGAGAUCAUCUGUUAGAUAGGACUGAUCUCAAAUACAGUUAAUUAGUAUCAAGUACCAUUAGAUUCAGAGAUCACCCGCUAGAUAUGACUGAUCUCAGAUUCAGUUAAUCAUCUUCAUUAUCAGUAUAUUCAGAGAUCACCCGUUAGAAAUGAAUGAUCUCAACCUCAGUCAAUCAAAUAUCAGUAUCAGUAGACUCAGUUAUCAGAAAUCUAGUUAUUAGAAUUCGGUAUUCAGUGUUCCUACGAUUUCAGUUAUAGUUGUGCAUUCAUGCAUGUAUCCUUAUUCAGUAUACUCAGAUGAUUUAGUCAGUAUUGUUCAUGCAUAUGAACCCCUACAUUUAGCCUACCUCAUCUAGCAUACCAGUACAUUCCACCGUACUGACGUAUACUUUUUUGUGCUAUGGUGUUUUAUACUAUAGGUUCAGAAUCAUAAGAUCCAGAGCACCCUUAGCAGUUCAGAUUCAGUCAGCAGCAGUAGACGUAGCCGUGAGUCCUCAUCAUUCAAGGAUAAUCUUUAUUUUAUUAUUUCACUAGAUUCAGUAUUUUAGUAGACAGAGUUAGUUGGGGACCUAUCCCAUCAACUCCACAGUUCAGACAAUUUAGAGGCUUUUCAGACAUAUGUAUCAGUAUUUAGUUUUCAGUUGUAUUUAAGAUAUUUAAGCCUCAUGGCAAGUUUUUUGCCAGUUUUCUGCAUUUUUAUAGUGUAUUAUGCAGUGCUCAGUUAUAGAUACUAGAAAAGGGUUAACUUGUGGUCCUUCAGGAUUAUGAGUACCGUGUAGCGUUUGGGGUACCAGACUUAUGGCGUUACAAACUUGGUAUCAGAGCCUAAGGUUCAACAGUGUCCUAGGAAGUCUGAAAUCCGUAUCUAGUAGUCUUGUGCAUGAGUGUGUUGCGCGCCACAUUUAUGCACAGGAGGCUAUAAAAUGUCUUAGGAACAAUUUCUCUUCUUUCAAUAUUCAUGUCAUGCGAGUGAGCAUGAGCUCAAGUUAAGACUCUCAGUGUAAUCCUGAUACGAUUCAAAUGGCCUCCUUAGCUUUCAAUGAGGUCAUUCGAAGUCAGUACGUGGGGCAUCAAGCUUUGGUCACAUUAAGGAAACAGGAUCCUACAUGGAGGGGCCGAUUUGAGUACACCAAAGAGCAACCCACAUGUGAAAGAUUGCUUGGAGCAUUGAAGAUUGAGGACUCACAGUUUUGGGCCUUCAUUAAGGAUAUUUUGAUUACUUAGCCUUGUCCAAGUAACACUCUAUGACCACCCCUUUUCAUUAAGGGUAUUGUGAUCUUUUUGUUAUGUAAUAAGUUAGACUAUAAAUAGGUUCUAUUAGUUCAUUUGGUAGUUAAUUUAUGAAAGAUAAAAGAUUGAAACAAUUGAAUUCCUUUCUCUUGAGAGUAGAC
rnacentral:lncRNA from 1 species